rnacentral:rRNA from 1 species
GAUGAACGCUGGCGGCGUGCCUAAUACAUGCCAGUCGAGCGAACAGACGAGGAGCUUGCUCCUCUGACGUUAGCGGCGGACGGGUGAGUAACACGUGGAUAACCUACCUAUAAGACUGGGAUAACUUCGGGAAACCGGAGCUAAUACCGGAUAAUAUAUUGAACCGCAUGGUUCAAUAGUGAACGACGGUUUUGCUGUCACUUAUAGAUGGAUCCGCGCCGCAUUAGCUAGUUGGUAAGGUAACGGCUUACCAAGGCAACGAUGCGUAGCCGACCUGAGAGGGUGAUCGGCCACACUGGAACUGAGACACGGUCCAGACUCCUACGGGAGGCAGCAGUAGGGAAUCUUCCGCAAUGGGCGAAAGCCUGACGGAGCAACGCCGCGUGAGUGAUGAAGGUCUUCGGAUCGUAAAACUCUGUUAUUAGGGAAGAACAAAUGUGUAAGUAACUAUGCACGUCUUGACGGUACCUAAUCAGAAAGCCACGGCUAACUACGUG